rnacentral:rRNA from 1 species
AUACGGAGGGUGCAAGCGUUACUCGGAAUCACUGGGCGUAAAGCGCGCGCAGGCGGUCUUUUAAGUUGGAUGUGAAAGCCUACGGCUCAACCGUAGAACUGCAUCCAAAACUAUUAGACUAGAGUGUGGGAGAGGAAGAUGGAAUUAGUUAUGUAGGGGUAAAAUCCGUAGAGAUAACUAGGAAUACCAAAAGCGAAGGCAAUCUUCUGGAACACUACUGACGCUGAGGCGCGAAAGCGUGGGGAGCAAACAGGAUUAGAUACCCCAGUAGUCC